UGAGGAAUCUUGCGCAAUGGGGGAAACCCUGACGCAGCAACGCCGCGUGAGUGAGGAAGGCCUUCGGGUCGUAAAGCUCUGUCAGAUGGGAAGAAAUGGAUGGGGGCUAAUAUCGUCCAUCCUUGACGGUACCAUCAGAGGAAGCACCGGCUAACUCCGUGCCAGCAGCCGCGGUAAUACGGGGGGUGCAAGCGUUGUUCGGAAUCAUUGGGCGUAAAGCGCGCGCAGGCGGCUUGGUAAGUCAGAUGUGAAAUCCCUGGGCUUAACCCAGGAAGUGCAUUUGAUACUGCCGCGCUAGCGUACGGGAGAGGAAAGUGGAAUUCCUGGUGGAGAGGUGAAAUUCGUAGAUAUCGGGAGGAACACCGGUGGCGAAGGCGACUUUCUGGCCCGAUACUGACGCUCAGGCGCGAAAGCGUGGGGAGCAAA
rnacentral:rRNA from 1 species